CAGAGGUCACUGCURKSRGUGUGUCGACUAAGCCAUGCGAGUCAAAUGUUCUUCGUGAACAUGGCGUACUGCUCAGUAACACGUGGACAACCUGCCCUAAGGUCUGGCAUAACUCCGGGAAACUGGGGAUAAUUCCAGAUAAACCAUGGAUACUGGAAUGUACUGUGAUUAAAAGCUCCGGCGCCUUAGGAUGGAUCUGCGGCCUAUCAGGUAGUAGUGGGUGUAAUGUACCUACUAGCCUACGACGGGUACGGGUUGUGAGAGCAAGAGCCCGGAGAUGGAUUCUGAGACAUGAAUCCAGGCCCUACGGGGCGCAGCAGGCGCGAAAACUUUACAAUGCGGGAAACCGCGAUAAGGGGACACUGAGUGCCAGCACCAUGUGCUGGCUGUCCGCAUGUAUAAAUCACAUGUGUCAGCAAGGGCCGGGCAAGACCGGUGCCAGCCGCCGCGGUAACACCGGCGGCCCGAGUGGUGGCCAUUAUUAUUGGGUCUAAAGGGUCCGUAGCCGGUUUGAUCAGUCUUCCGGGAAAUCUGACAGCUCAACUGUUAGGCUUCUGGGGGAUACUGUCAGACUUGGAACCGGGAGAGGUAAGAGGUACUACAGGGGUAGGAGUGAAAUCUUGUAAUCCUUGUGGGACCACCAGUGGCGAAGGCGUCUUACCAGAACGGGUUCGACGGUGAGGGACGAAAGCUGGGGGCACGAACCGGAUUAGAUACCCGGGUAGUCCCAGCCGUAAACGAUGCUCGCUAGGUGUCUGGGAUGGUGCGACCGUUUCASGUGCCGCAGGGAAGCCGUGAAGCGAGCCACCUGGGAAGUACGGCCGCAAGGCUGAAACUUAAAGGAAUUGGCGGGGSAGCACUACAACGGGUGGAGCCUGCGGUUUAUUG
rnacentral:rRNA from 1 species